CUCUCUCUCAUUUCCUUUCCAAUUUUUUUCUGGAAAAAAUGAAAAUUGAAAGAGUCAUCAUUUGACUUUGAAGGACUUGUGAUCUGCAUGGGUCUAAGUUGAGACUUGAGAUAAUAAUAUUUCUCCCUCACCAGUGAAAAUCUUUGUUCAUCCAUUGGAUUUAUUUGGAAUUUUUGUUUGUAACAAGCGAAUGAGAUCCUUUGAUUUUUCUAACAGUAUGUUUGGUGCUGAUGUUAAGGUACUGAUGACGAUUUUAGUUCUGAAUUUGAAUGAAAUUUACAGUGCUUUAUAACUCUCAAACUAAUAAAUUUGUUUUGAAUUGACAGAGCAAUGAUGAGUUGAGGCAGAAGCUUUUGUACACAACCAUUGAAUUGGAAUCACUGAAAGCUGAAGCAAGUGAAGAGAUGAGAAAGCAUAAGGAGUAUGUGAAGCAUUUAAUUGGUCUCCUAAAGAUUGCAUACAAAGAAAGAGAUGAGGCAAAAGAUCUGUUGCAGAAGCUUCUUAACAAGCUAAUGCCUUCUAAUUCUGCUCAAUUGCAUCCCACUGUUCCUCAAGCUCAACCUGAAAGCCCCCUUGUUAUUCCCAUGAAGGCAAACUCAAGCGUUACUGAAUCUAACAGUCUAUCAGAUACAUAUAAUCACCAAUCACAUGGCUCUUCCCCUGUGGAUUCAUUCUUUGAUGCAGUUACUUCACCGGAUUUCUCAAGCAUGAACAUGGCUGAUUCGAGUCACAUAAAUUUUGUCAAUAAGACCUAUGUUCAAGAGUAUACUGGUUCUAUGUCAACAGGUUUGGUCUCUGCUUCAGUUCCCAAGAUUGAUCCUGCUGACGCUGCAAUUGACAGUCUUAUUAAUGGAAAAGUCCUGCCUCAAAAAGGAAAACUGUUACAAGCUGUUACAGAGGCAGGUCCUCUUCUUCAAUCGCUUCUUGUUGCAGGGCCUCUUCCCCGGUGGAGAAAUCCUCCCCCACUGCAACACUUCAAGAUUCCACCUUUUUCAAUCAAAGGCAGUGAGACUGCAAUACCAAUUAAUCCGAAACCUGCUGCAAAUUCAAAUUCUGUUGCUCCGAAACCAACGAAUUCAUCGUCUUAUCCUGAUAUGUCUCGUGGUUCUUCUCAAAUGUGUUCAGCUUCCAUGUUAAAUUUUAAUAGUGGUGCUUCUGGUUCAGUUUUAGGCAGUUUUUGGCCAUUAAACUCUGCCAAGAGGCAAAGAUUUCUCUGAGAUAAUAAAACUUUGCUUCUUCUUUCUUUUUUUAACUUUCUUUUUGUAAAAAUCAAAGUUCAGUGGUUGGUGGUGUAAAUGUGAUAUUUUGUUUUGGGGGUUUGACUGGCAUAGCUAGUCAGUUUAUUUGCCUCCUAUAUUAGUGUUACAUUUCUUGCUCCUAGAUUAAUUAAAAAAAAAAAAU
rnacentral:misc_RNA from 1 species